rnacentral:rRNA from 1 species
UGAGUACGAGAUGCUACGGCGUCGAAGCAGUGUAUGUCAGACUUCCAAGAAAAGCUUGCACUGUCAUAAAUAAAGAAUGCCUGUACCAUAACCGACACAGGUGGGUAGGUAGAGUAUACUAAGGGGCGCGAGAUAACUCUCUCUAAGGAACUCGGCAAAAUGACUCCGUAACUUCGGGAGAAGGAGUGCCUUAUUUAUAAGGUUGCAAUAACAAGAUCCAAGCAACUGUUUAUCAAAAACACAGGUCUCCGCUAAGUCGUAAGACGAUGUAUGGGGGCUGACGCCUGCCCAGUGCCAGAAGGUUAAAGAAGUUGGUUAGUGUAUGCGAAGCUGAUGACUGAAGCCCUGGUGAACGGCGGCCGUAACUAUAACGGUCCUAAGGUAGCGAAAUUCCUUGUCGGGUAAGUUCCGACCCGCACGAAAGGCGUAAUGAUUUGGAUACUGUCUCGGAGAGAGGCUCGGUGAAAUAGACUUGUCUGUGAAGAUGCGGACUACCUGCACCAGGACAGAAAGACCCUAUGAAGCUUUACUGUAACUUGAAAUUGGAAUUGGACUUCGCUUGCGCAGUAUAGGUGGGAAGCGUUGAAAAUAUUCUUGCGGGAGUAUUGGAGCUAUCAGUGAGAUACCACUCUUGUAAUGUUAGAUUUCUAACUUUGAACCAUAAUCUGGUCAAAGAACAGUUUCAGGUGGGCAGUUUGACUGGGGCGGUCGCCUCCCAAAUGGUAACGGAGGCGUACAAAGGUUUCCUCUGAACGGAUAGAAAUCGUAUCUAGAGUGUAAAGGCAUAAGGAAGCUUGACUGUGAGACCUACAAGUCGAGCAGGGACGAAAGUCGGUCUUAGUGAUCUGACGGUACUGAGUGGAAAGGCCGUCACUCAACGGAUAAAAGUUACUCUAGGAUAACAGGCUGAUCUCCCCCAAGAGUUCACAUCGACGGGGAGGUUUGGCACCUCGAUGUCGGCUCAUCGCAUCCUGGGGCGGUAGUACGUCCCAAGGGUUGGGCUGUUCGCCCAUGAAAGCGGUACGCGAGCUGGGUUCAGAACGUCGUGAGACAGUUCGGUCCAUAUCCGGUGUAGGCGCUAGAAUAUUGAGAGGAGCCUUCUUUAGUACGAGAGGACCGAGAAGGACACACCGCUGGUGUACCAGUUAUCGUGCCAACGGUAAACGCUGGGUAGCUAUGUGUGGAGUGGAUAACCGCUGAAAGCAUCUAAGUGGGAAGCCCACCUCGAGAUGAGUACUCCC